GGAGUGUACUUCCUGACUGGAGGCGAGUGUUUGUUGAAAUAAGUGGAGAUUUCCUGCUUGUCUUUUGGAAGGGAUGAGGUGGCUGUGUGUGAUCGCUGUGAAUGCAGUGGAGCUUUGGGCUGCUCCACGCUGAGGAGUUUGUGUGCUGGAGAUGAAGCUGGAGCUGGAUCAGACAGCGUGUGCAGGGCCAGCAGCGUCCGCCAUGCAAGAGAGAAGUUCAUUAUGUGCUAACGAAGAUGAAGAUGGAGACAAAGGAGACGCGGAGUGACUAUGUUUGGUUUGGUGUAUGGAGAAGAGGAGGGCGCCUUGUCUGCUGCGAGUGAUGCAAUGCGGUUACUCAACUAGAACGGGCCUGUUUACAACAUGACAACAGGAGCCGCAGUUUCUCAUGCCUGUUUAAUUGAAAGCAGGUCUUCCUCUAAAGAGUCCAGAUCCUGGUCAGUGCUGUCAUUCUUGAUGUAAGGAAUGUGAAAGAUGACAGUUAUGACCUUCCCUUUCCUCCCCCUGCAGCCCAGACCUGCAGGUCCAUCGUCUUAUCUUCCACUCCUCUGCUUCCCUAAAACAUGCUGGAGCCGCUGUAUUAUUCUCUCAUUGGAGACGAAGGAAAAUCCAUCGUUUACGUUUAAGUGGAGCAGGCCACCCUGACCGUACAGACAGCAGUAAGAAGGAGGGGAGGAGAGAAGGGAGGGAUGGAGAGUGAAAAGGGAGAAAGUGUAUGAUGACGAAUAACGCAAAAGAAAGUGGGAGAGAGAGGGAAACAAAAGAAGGGGAAACAAAGAGGCUGAAAUAGGAAGGGACUGAGAAAGUUAGCAAGAGAAAGACGUACAAAGAGCAAGGAAGAUGAAGACUUUUUUCUUUCUUUUUUUCUUUCUUUCAAAUCAACACCAGGGUGAUGCAUCAUCUCCAAAUUUCAGCUUGGUUGAGCAAAAACAGCCCCGUCCUCCAAGCCUCCACUCAAGCUGGAGUGUUUCAAGGUUAUACUAACUCAAGCAUGCUGCACCAAUAACAUAAACAGUGCGAUAACCAGCUGCCCGGCAGAUUUCUGUCAUAACUCAUGCCCAUAGACGGCCUGAGGGCCUGCUAUUUCUUUUGGACACAUAAAAUUGAGGAGGAACAAUAUUUUUGAUUCCAACAUUCUGUUUGGCAUUCUUUGUAUGGCACACUCAUGCGAAUCACUGAACAAGCUCAUUUUGCAGUGUCUUAAAAUCACUCCACAAACACUCAACCCUGCCCUUAAUAAUCCUUAAUGCUGAGGCAAUUUUUCCUGUUGCAAUAUCUCAGCUUAGUGCCAUUGACUUAAUUCUGUGGCCAUUAUGUAUGUCUGAUGUCUUUCUAACUACUCUGUCUACUCUUUCUCCUGGGGACAGCCUUAAAGGAGCUUUCUGGUCGAGAGUUCAAUAUGUAAUUUGAUGUGUUAUUCUUUGCAUCCCUCAGCCUCAUUGGUUUGACAGAAUUGAUUUUAUAUUUUUUUCAUGUUUAUGUUCAUUGGUGUCCUCUCACUAACUCACUAUAAUCCCUAGGGUGUCAACCAAUCCUGAAUGCCUAGCCACUGAUCUAACAACAGGGUAACUCACCUCAGUUGUCAAAAAAAAAAACAAAGAUAACAGCAGUUACAUCUUUAUUCAGCACAAACUAUAUUCCAGCAAAAGUUUUUGACCCUUUCAGCCAGAGAAAAGAAGCUAAGCUGAGGUAAGGUAGCACAUAACUUCUUGUCCUCCUCAUCUGACAAGUAAAUUGCUUUGGAUGAGUAAUCUAUUCUCUCCAUUGUAAUUCUACUUUAAGACAGUAAUGUUAGCCAGCUGGUUUCCUUCCUUCCUCCAGCUAACAGAAAAAAACAACAACCACAAAAAAAAAAAAAAUUCAAAUGUCCUGUCCCCAAAUAUCCAGCUCAAAAUAU